rnacentral:rRNA from 1 species
CGCUGGACCAUGCACAAGUCUCCUGGAAUGGAGCGUCAUAGAGGGUGAGAAUCCCGUCUUUGGCAUGGAUCCCAGGGCUUCUGUGAUGCGCUCUCGACGAGUCGAGUUGUUUGGGAAUGCAGCUCAAAAUGGGUGGUGAACUCCAUCUAAAGCUAAAUAUUGGCGAGAGACCGAUAGCGAACAAGUACCGUGAGGGAAAGAUGAAAAGCACUUUGGAAAGAGAGUGAAACAGUACGUGAAAUUGUUGAAAGGGAAACGCUUGAAGUCAGUCGCGUUGACCGAGACUCAACCUUGCUUUGGCUUGGUGUAUUUCUCGGCUGACGGGUCAGCAUCAAUUUUGACCCUCAGAUAAUGACAAGGGAAAGGUGGCACCUUUUAGGUGUGUUAUAGUCCCAUGUCGCAUGUGAGGGUUGGGAUUGAGGAACUCAGCAUGCACCUCUGGGUGUCGGGGCUUUGGCCCACGUUACAUGCUUAGGAUGCUGGCGUAAUGGCUUUAAACGACCCGUCUUGAAACACGGACCAAGGAGUCUAACAUACCCGCGAGUGUUCGGGUGGAAAACCCGUGCGCGUAAUGAAAGUAAAAGUUGGGACCUCUGUCGUGGAGGGCACCGACGCCCGGACCAGACCUUCUGUGACGGCUCUGCGGUAGAGCGUGUAUGUUGGGACCCGAAAGAUGGUGAACUAUGCCUGAAUAGGGUGAAGCCAGAGG